UACGUAGGUGGCAAGCGUUGUCCGGAUUUACUGGGCGUAAAGAGCGCGCAGGCGGUCGUCCAAGUCGCGUGUGAAAGCCCCCCGGCUCAACUGGGGAGGGUCACGCGAUACUGAUCGACUCGAAGGCAGGAGAGGGUAGUGGAAUUCCUGGUGUAGCGGUGAAAUGCGCAGAUAUCAGGAGGAACACCGGUGGCGAAGGCGGGGUCUCUGGGCAACAACUGACGCUGAGGAGCGAAAGCGUGGGGAGCGAACAGG
rnacentral:rRNA from 1 species